AUCACUCCUUUAUCAUCCGUGCGGCUGCUAGCGCUUGUUUAUUUUGUUUCGAGAAAGAGUGCCGUGUGUUAUGGCUUUCCGUUUCAGAGGAAGACAAUUGGCUGCUGGUGCUGGCCGGGUUUUGCUUGGAGCAUCAACAGCACAAAUCAGGGGAUAUUGCCAGCAAGUCUCAUCCACUCCCGAAUGCACAGUUCGCCGUGGUGGUAAAUUGGUCACCCAACUUGUUUAAUUCUCGCUUCAAAUUUCUACUACCAUUAUUUUUACUAAUUUCCGGGUACGCCCAAUAUGAGUAUAUAAUUUGAAAAAUCACAUGGAAGUAUGUGUAAGCUUUUGAAACUGAGGAAUGUUGAUUCAAUUAGGUUAGCUCGAUGAAAGGAAGAAAUCAUGCCCUGCAGAAGUCCUCAGAUGUCUUAUUGUGAUUACUGAGGACUUUUGCAGGAAUUUAUAUCUUAAGAAAAUUGUUCUUAUUUCUAUAACCUAAUGCUGUA